GAUGAGGUGGACGAAUGGUUAAGGCAAUGAACUGCUAAUCCAUUGUGCGUGGAUUCGAAUCCCAUCCUGGUCA
rnacentral:tRNA from 1 species